GAUAAUGAAGUAAAAAUUACAUCUUAAUUUCGACUUAAGAUUAAGGAUAAAUAUUCCCUUAUCU
rnacentral:tRNA from 1 species